AAAAAUUUCAAAAAUUUUCAACCAAAAUUUUUUGGCGGUCAACAAAAAUUUUCAAAAGAGUUUAGCCGACAAAAAUAAAGAAUUUCGUCGGGUAAAGUUCUUUAUAUAGGAGUUUUACCGGAGGUGGAUGGUAAGAAGUUAGAAAAUCCCCAAUUUUCUUCUCUGCCUAGCUCCGCCGUCAAGCCAUCAGAGACCGCCACACUUGUCCCAAAAGCUUCGCCGUCGUCUCUAUUUCAUUGCUGGACAGGUGGUGCAUCGAGUGGCGCCUCCGUGAGGGAUAAAUCGAGCUCCAAAACUUCGCCGGUUCGGAUUCGGUGUCGAUCGAAUUUCUCCUUCCUCAGGUCACCAUUUGGUGAGUUCUAUAUAUGGAUAAGUUGAGUUUGAUUAGUACUACAUUCCCCUAGAAUUUGGUAGCUUGAUUCGGUAUGUGUGAAGAGAAUCGAAGACUUGAAGUUUUUAGGGUUUAAAAUUGGGGAUUUUAUAUUUUGAUUCAAUUGACCUGUUUAGGCUUAGAAUUGGGCUUCGACUUCUUCUAGAAAGUUGUUCGAAAUGUUGAGAGGAAGAUUCUAUCAAAUUUUGGUGGUGAUUGGAGGUGGCCGAAAGUUUCUGCAGUUUUUUUUUUCAAAAAUCAGCAACUUUAGCCGACGAUAUUUAAAUACUAUAUUCGUCGGCUAUAGUAUUUUUAAUUUUUUUAUAAGGUUUAGCAGACGAAUUAUGACAUGUUUCGUCGGCUAUAGUUAUUUUUAAAAUUUUUUUAUAAGGUUUAGCCGACGAAACAUACUAUAUUUCGUCGGCCAUAGUUAUUUUUUUAAUUUUUUAUAAGGUUUAGCCGACGAAAUAGACUAUAUUUUUUCAGCUAUAGUCUGGGAAAUUUUUUUUUAUUAUAGACUUUAGCCGACGAAUAUCUUAAUUGUUUCGUCGGCUAAAGUCUGUAAUAAAAACCGACGACAUGUUUUCGUCGGCUAAACUGUGGGAC
rnacentral:lncRNA from 1 species